rnacentral:rRNA from 1 species
GAUUGUAGUAUCGCAUGAUAUAAGCGAAUUAAAGGAGCAAUUCGCUAUAAGAUGGACCCGCGUCGCAUUAGCUAGUUGGUGAGGUAAUGGCUCACCAAGGCGACGAUGCGUAGCCGACCUGAGAGGGUGAUCGGCCACAUUGGGACUGAGACACGGCCCAGACUCCUACGGGAGGCAGCAUG